rnacentral:misc_RNA from 1 species
AAAGUCGUAACAAGGUAACCGUAGGUGAACCUGCGGUUGGAUCAUUAACAAAAAUUGGAGUAGCGGAGCUUCGGCUCCCUAUUUUAAACACCAAUUGUGAACCUGUAUUAUUGUUUCUUGGUUGAUUAUUAAUUUUUAACUUUAACUAGUUGGAGGUUGAUUUCAGCCAAACAUUUUUUAAACUUAGCACUACAACAUUUUGACCAUUAAAUAAAAGUUUGAAAUUUUUUUUAAACAUUAAACAAAUUAAAAAAACAACUUUUGGCAACGGAUCUCUAGGCUCUU